rnacentral:misc_RNA from 1 species
GAUGAAGAAACGUAGUGAAAUGCGAUAAUUAAUGUGAAUUGCAGAAUUCAGUGAAUCAUCGAGUCUUUGAACGCACAUUGCGCCCCCUGGUAUUCCGGGGGGCAUGCCUGUCCGAGCGUCAUUGCUGCCCUCAAGCACGGCUUGUGUGUUGGGCUUCCGUCCCUGGCAACGGGGACGGGCCCAAAAGGCAGUGGCGGCACCAUGUCUGGUCCUCGAGCGUAUGGGGCUUUGUCACCCGCUCCCGUAGGUCCAGCUGGCAGCUAGCCUCGCAACCAAUCUUUUUAACCAGGUUGACCUCGGAUCAGGUAGGGAUACCCGCUGAACUUAAGCAUAUCAAUAAGCGGAGGA